GCUUGGAUUGCUUUUGUUUUUCUUCUUAGAAGUAAAACCACCAACGUAAUCUGUAAGCUCUGAGAACGUUGUUGUUUGUGAAGAGACAUGAGAUGCAGACACAGUGUUAAACAAUCCAGUAGUUUAGAUGAUUUCUUCAUUGCUGUGGAAAGCGACAUAACUGAAUCAUUUUUGAACAUGUGACUGGUGAAAACUGAAACAGAAUGUCAGUUUGUAACCAGCUGUGGAUGUUUUGGACAGAUGGGGUAUUGAUUUUCCUUCAUUUUUAAUUUCCACUUCUAAAUGGUUGGUACUCUGGACUUGUUCCUGAAACAGCAUCUGUGUGACGUGUUGACGCUUAAAGCACAAUAUGUUCCCUGAAAUUAAAACCCAAGUGUCUGAAACUGGAAGUUGUGUUUCAAUGGAUUUUUUUGUUGUUUCUGCCCAGAAGAAAGAGGAGCUCUGAGCAAUCAUCUGAUCCUGUACAGAGAGCAGACAACAGAGGACAGGAUGAUCUUCACUAUGCCAGUGUCCACUUCACCAACAACCAGGAAGAGUCUCUUUACGCUAACAUCAUGUCGACUCAACCCCAGAGACACGAGGAGAAAGAGGAUGAAGGUGUUGUCUACUCCGCUGUCAGAUGUAACGGUGGCAGCAGUGGAACCAGAAGUCAAGAAGCUGGAGAAGAUGCAGAUGCUUUGUACAGCACAGUGAAGAAAACCCGCUGAGAACAAGAUGAACCUGCAGCCUGGAGUUUAGAACCACCAGUUUGAUUAUUGAAGCAGGAAACCAGUGAUUUGAUAUGUUGCUGUCUGAGAAAGCACCACUGAGAUAACAUUUAGACAACAAUGUAAAUAGAAGUUUUCAAAUGAAAUAAUUUUACAUUUCUGAAAAUGAUUUAGAUGUUAGAGAAUGUCUUUGAAUAACCGCCUGUAUUUCCUGUUCAUAUUUACUGAACUUUAAACUUCAGAGACUCUUUCAGCUUGGUUUCCUCCAGUAUGCCAUGCAACGAACAGACUGUUCUGCUGUUUAUUAUAAGUCCUUCUAUAAAAGAUGUAACACCCAUGUGGGGGCUGCUCUGUGUGCUCUGAUUACUUUUUGUUGUCAUUUAAUUGUUCCUCCUGCUCAUCACAGCAGAAAAAAAUCUUUGUUUGUUGUUAUAACCAGUUGUUAAAUCCUGGACGAGCCCCCACUUGUCAUAAACCGGCUGCAUGGCCAUGACAUACAAAGGGAAGAUGCACACAAAACAAUUAUGGCCAAAACUUUUAUUAGAUGGCAAAAGAUUAACUUAAACUAACAAUGUGAUGAGUCAUCAGUAAAAUCAGUAGUGUAGGUGAGUGCAUGAGUGGAAAGAUGGUGUUUGCAGUGUUGAACGGUGCAAAAAAGCAAAUCAUACCAACGCAAAGCAAGUGGCCAUCUCAGGAGAGAGCCAGAAUGAUCACCAGAAAGGCUUUAUAAAGGCCCUGACGCACACCGGGCUCAGGUGUGGCCAAUGGCUGAUUGUCAGGGACACCUACUCCUCCACUACCUGCAGGGAGAGGACCACACACACAACUACAGGCAGGAUAGGGGAAGGGUCGUCACAAACACUCUCAGUUUUUAAAAAGAAAACACCAAAAAAAAGAUCCCUAAUGCACAGACUGUGUUAAAUGAAUCUGUGUACACGGUCAGUUGUCAUCCUUACUCUAAAU